rfam:Operophtera brumata OBRT01_Sc17289, whole genome shotgun sequence.
GGUGUAGCUCAGAUGGUAGAGCGCUCGCUUGGCGUGCGAGAAGUACGGGGAUCGAUGCUCCGCGCC